GGGGGAUAUUGCACAAUGGAGGAAACUCUGAUGCAGCGACGCCGCGUGAGGGAAGAAGGUCUUCGGAUUGUAAACCUCUGUCUUUAGGGACGAAGAAAGUGACGGUACCUAAAGAGGAAGCCACGGCUAACUACGUGCCAGCAGCCGCGGUAAUACGUAGGUGGCGAGCGUUGUCCGGAUUUACUGGGUGUAAAGGGUGCGUAGGCGGGUUAUCAAGUUGGGUGUGAAACCUCCGUGCUUAACACGGAGCCUGCAUUCAAAACUGGUAAUCUUGAGUGAGGUAGAGGUAGAUGGAAUUCCCGGUGUAGCGGUGAAAUGCGUAGAGAUCGGGAGGAACACCAGUGGCGAAGGCGGUCUACUGGGCCUUAACUGACGCUGAGGCACGAAAGCAUGGGUAGCAAAC
rnacentral:rRNA from 1 species